GACGAACGCUGGCGGCGUGCUUAACACAUGAAAGUCGAACGAGUGGCGAACGGGUGAGUAAUACGUGGGUAACCUGCCCUCUUUUUGGGAAAAGCCUUGGAAAAGGGGACUAAUACCGAAUAAAGGGGGGUGUGCUCGCGGCCUAUCAGCUUGUUGGUGGGGUGAUGGCCUACCAAGGCGGUGAGGGGUAGCCGGCCUGAGAGGGUGACCGGCGGCAUAGGGAGGGGGAGACGGUCCAGACGGCUACGUGAAGGAGGAGUGGGGGAUAUUGCACAAUGGGCUACAGCCUGUGGCAGGGACGGGGCGUGGGGCAUGAAGGCGUUCGGGUUGUAAACCUCGUUCGUUUUCGAACGGGUAGGUGGAGAAGAAGCGCCGGCUAACUACGUGCCAGCAGCCGCGGUAAUUC
rnacentral:rRNA from 1 species